rnacentral:rRNA from 1 species
UACGUAGGGUGCGAGCGUUGUCCGGAAUUAUUGGGCGUAAAGAGCUCGUAGGCGGUGUGUCGCGUCGGCCGUGAAAACCUGCAGCUUAACUGUGGGCGUGCGGUCGAUACGGGGCAUCACUGGGAGUUCGGCAGGGGGAGACUGGAAUUCCUGGUGUAGCGGUGGAAUGCGCAGAUAUCAGGAGGAACACCGGUGGCGAAGGCGGGUCCUCUGGGCAGUAACUGACGCUGGAGACGCGAAAGCGUGGGGAGCAAACAGG